CACGUAGGGCGCAAGCGUUGUCCGGAAUUAUUGGGCGUAAAGAGCUCGUAGGCGGUCUGCCACGUCCGCUGUGAAAACCUAGGGCUUAACCCUGGGCUUGCAGUAGAUACGGGCAGACUAGAGGUAGGUAGGGGAGAAUGGAAUUCCCGGUGUAGCGGUGAAAUGCGCAGAUAUCGGGAGGAACGACCGGUGGCGAAGGCGGUUCUCUGGGCCUUACCUGCGCUGAGGAGCGAAGCGUGGGGAGCAAACAGGAUUGAGA
rnacentral:rRNA from 1 species